CAUAAUUAUUAGUUUUUUAAUUGAAAGCUUGUAUGAAGGGUUGGACGAGAUAAAAUCUGUCUUUAUUUAAAUUACAAUAGAAUUUAACUUUUAAGUCAAAAGGCUUAAAUGUAUAUAAAAGACGAGAAGACCCUAUAGAUCUUUAUUUAAUUAAUAUUUUGAUAAUUUAAGAUUAUUUUAGUUUAAAGUUUUAAUUAAAUUUUAUUGGGGUAAUAUAGAGAUUAAAUAAAUUCUUUUUAUUUAUUACAUUGAUUUAUGAAUAUAUGAUCCAAUAUUAUUGAUUAUAAGAUUAAGUUACCUUAGGGAUAACAGCGUAAUUUUUUUGGAGAGCUCAUAUCGAUAAAAAAGUUUGCGACCUCGAUGUUGGAUUAAAAAUUAGCUUGGGUGCAGAAGCUCAAGAUUUUGGUCUGUUCGACCAUUAAAUUUUUACAUGAUCUGAGUUCAGACCGGCGUAAGCCAGGUCGGUUUCUAUCUUUAUUUAUCUAAAAUAUUUUAGUACGAAAGGACCAAAUAUUUAAUAUAAUUAUAUUUCUUUUUUGAAUAAUAUU
rnacentral:rRNA from 1 species